rnacentral:rRNA from 1 species
AGCAGCCGCGGUAAUUCCAGCUCCAAUAGCGUAUAUUAAAGUUGUUGCAGUUAAAAAGCUCGUAGUUGAAUUUCGGGAUUAAUUUAUUGGUCGUGCAAUAGUACGUACUGGUAUUAUUGAUUCCUACCUUCUGACGAACCAUGAUGUCAUUAAUUUGGUGUCAUGGGGAAUCAGGACUGUUACUUUGAAAAAUUAGAGUGUUUAAAGCAGGCUCACGCUUGAAUACAUUAGCAUGGAAUAACGAAAUAGGACGUUUGAUUCUAUUUUGUUGGUUUCUAGGAUCGACGUAAUGAUUAAUAGGGGUAGUUGGGGGCAUUAGUAUUCAAUUGUCAGAGGUGAAAUUCUUGGAUUUAUUGAAGACUAACUACUGCGAAAGCAUUUGCCAAGGAUGUUUUCAUUAAUCAAGAACGAAAGUUAGGGGAUCGAAGACGAUCAGAUACCGUCGUAGUCUUAACCAUAAACUAUGCCGACUAGGGAUCGGAUGAUGUUAAUUUUUAUGACUCA